AUGAAUGUAAUUAUACGAUGUGUGAACGUAAAUAAACAAACGGGGAUAUGUAUGUAUUACGAACGUUAAAUUAAUGUUUAGAGGUUUUGACAUACAUAGAUGUAUAUAAGUUAAACAUCUAAAACAUUUAAAGAAAAUUAUGCCGAAGAAACGGAUGUGUCUGCGAUACCAGCGGCAACCUCAUGCACAUUCGAAGACUUGGAUACAUCCAGCUCAUCAUUCACUUCAUCGCCCUUCUCCAUGCCACACUUUUCAUCGACCUUCAUUGGUGACGUAUCCAUUUUGGGUGUGGUGUCCUCAUCGGUGUUCUUGCCAACAGUGAUGUCUUCGGUCGCAGUCUUUUCGUCACUUUCAGCGGCAUCGGUGGCGUUACC